GAUGAACGCUAGCUACAGGCUUAACACAUGCAAGUCGAGGGGCAGCACAGUGUAGCAAUACAUGGGUGGCGACCGGCGCACGGGUGCGUAACGCGUAUCCAACCUUCCCGUUACUCAGGGAUAGCCUUCCGAAAGGGAGAUUAAUACCUGAUGGUGUUCAAAUUCCGCAUGUUAUUUGAACUAAAGAUUUAUCGGUAACGGAUGGGGAUGCGUGACAUUAGGUAGAUGGCGGGGUAACGGCCCACCAUGCUUACGAUGUCUAGGGGUUCUGAGAGGAAGGUCCCCCACACUGGAACUGAGACACGGUCCAGACUCCUACGGGAGGCAGCAGUGAGGAAUAUUGGUCAAUGGUCGGAGGACUGAACCAGCCAAGUAGCGUGAAGGAUGAAGGUUCUAUGGAUUGUAAACUUCUUUUAUACGGGAAUAAAACCUCCCACGUGUGGGAGCUUGUAUGUACCGUAUGAAUAAGCAUCGGCUAACUCCGUGCCAGCCGCCGCGGUAACAC
rnacentral:rRNA from 1 species